rnacentral:misc_RNA from 1 species
GAAAUGCGAUAACUAAUGUGAAUUGCAGAAUUCAGUGAAUCAUCGAGUCUUUGAACGCACAUUGCGCCCCCUGGUAUUCCGGGGGGCAUGCCUGUCCGAGCGUCAUUGCUGCCCUCAAGCACGGCUUGUGUGUUGGGCUUCCGUCCCUGGCAACGGGGACGGGCCCAAAAGGCAGUGGCGGCACCAUGUCUGGUCCUCGAGCGUAUGGGGCUUUGUCACCCGCUCCCGUAGGUCCAGCUGGCAGCUAGCCUCGCAACCAAUCUUUUUAACCAGGUUGACCUCGGAUCAGGUAGGGAUACCCGCUGAACUUAAGC